GCCAUAUUUCAGCAACCAUUCAAACUUUGCCACUGCUGUCUGUAGUGCAUUUCAAAUUACGCCAUGGAGCAGAUUAUUAGUAUUAGCAGACAGACUGAAAUGCACCAAAGAUCUUUGAAGGUGUCAGUUGGAUGUAAAAGCGUUCAGGGGACAUCCCACCGACUGCCUCAUUUGAUGCUGCAUUAUUAAACAGGUGUAAGGGCUUGAGCUGCUUCCCCACUGUUCAAUCAGCUGGGGAAAGGUUGAUGUGGGAGUAAAGCAACAGUUGUGGGAAUGUGCAUGUUCAAUGCUAAUAUAUUAAAAAUCUGUGUUACAUUCUGAUUGUGUUGCAUGUGUUACAAGUGCCUAAUGAUUCAUUCACUUACAGAGAUGGAGAAGCAACUCGAGGACCUAAAGCAACAACUAGAAAAACAAUGUGUGAUCAACAAAGAACUACAGAGGCAAAACAAAGACUUGGAAAAACGUCUGCUAGAAAAGGAGAAACGUCUGCAGCAGAUGCAAAGCCACUAUCAUGAUACAGAGUUUCCUAUACAGAGCGGGAAUGAGGUGCAGAAGUUCAGAAAGAGUCGAGCCGCAGUCAUCGCUACUGAACCCAUCCCAGAGACGCUGGAGAUCACAAGCACCAGAGUCAAGAAAACUGCCACGUGAGUGCAACGGGGGUUGAAUGAACAUCUUACAUUGUAGAAAAAGUGAGACAAGUUUCACAUUUUGAUGACACAUGGAAGAAUGAUUAAGUUUGUUGUUUCAUGUGGUAAUGCUUUUGUUGUAUUACACCAAAAGAACAAAAAAGGGCCAGAUAGACACCUUUGGCUUAGUUGAUUAACAUAAAACAUAUUGUAGUCAUUUUGCUGAGUUAGAUAAGUAAUAUUCUCCAGGAUAAUGCUGCUAUCUCUUUGUCCACAGAGAGACCAGUCUGAUAGUCAAGGCCAUCCAGAAGAAUGACUUCCUGAAGAGGCUGGAUGAUGAGCAGACAGCUAUGAUGGUGGAGCUGCUCGUGCUGUCCAAGUUCAACCCGGGGCAGGAGGUGAUCAAAGAGGGCUCCGAGGGAGACGGCAUGUACAUCGUGGCAGGUGCAGUCCGUGUUUCAUAUUUAAUCACUAAAAUACUUAGAAAAGAAUGGUAUAAAAACUCUCUGUAUUCAGGGGGCGAGUUACAAGUAACCCAGGCCGGACAGGACCUCCGUACUCUGAUAACUGGAGAUGUUUUUGGGGAGUUGGCCAUUCUUUACAACUGCAAGAGGACAGCUACAGUCAAAGGUAAAGAGUGAACAACAAGCAAAAACAUUAGGUUACUGUUACUUACAUUUCGUAUUCUAUGGCUGUAUAGACUUUAUGUAUCAUUGAGAGCAAAUGACCUUAAAUUUACUAAUAGUUAGAGGACAGUUUACGUCGUGCAGGGUCAAUGUUCUGCACAAAAUGAAUAAAAGAUACAAUUGGACAUCAUUUGGACAAUAUUUCUGGCAAUAGAAAUGAAAGUCUUUGACAGUAGAAUAGAACAUUUAUAUACAUUUGUCAGAUCGAGUAAUUGUUUUGCUGACUGCAGCAAAGACACCAGUGCGUCUGUGGUGCAUGGAGCGGCAAACGUAUAGAACCAUCAUCACCAACAAGUCCAAGAAGAAACGAGAGCAGCUCAUGGGUUUCCUGAAGACGUAAGCGCACCUGAAACGUCCUGAGGUCUUUCAUUGUGUGUUCUAAUUUCAUUUUCAUUCUGGCACCCGCAGGUCCCGCACUCUGAAGGAUCUGAAUGACGUCCAGUUGUCCAAAAUUAUUGACUCAAUGGAAGAAGUAAGUAGCGUGAUGGAGCAAGUUUAUUUGAUUGUCCACCUACUGUAGCUUUUACGGAUG
ensembl:lncRNA